rnacentral:rRNA from 1 species
GACGAACGCUGGCGGCGUGCUUAACACAUGCAAGUCGAACGCUGAAGCUCAGCUUUUGUUGGGUGGAUGAGUGGCGAACGGGUGAGUAACACGUGAGUAACCUGCCUCCUUCUUUGGGAUAACGCCCGGAAACGGGUGCUAAUCUGGAUAUUCACUGGUCUUCGCAUGGGGGUUGGUGGAAAGGGUUUUUCUGGUGGGGGAUGGGCUCGCGGCCUAUCAGCUUGUUGGUGGGGUGAUGGCCUACCAAGGCUUUGACGGGUAGCCGGCCUGAGAGGGUGACCGGUCACAUUGGGACUGAGAUACGGCCCAGACUGCGACGGGGGGGAGCAGUGGGGAAUAUUGCACAAUGGGCGCAAGCCUGAUGCAGCGGCGCCGCGUGAGGGGUGGAGGCCUUCGGGUUGUGAACCUCUUUCGCUCAUGGUCAAGCCGCAACAAUGGUUGUGGUGAGGGUAGUGGGUAAAGAAGCGCCGGCUAACUACGUG